rnacentral:rRNA from 1 species
UGCCAGCAGCCGCGGUAAUACAUAGGGGUCAAGCGUUGUCCGGAUUUAUUGGGCGUAAAGAGCUCGUAGGCGGUUCAACAAGUCGGUCGUAAAAGUUUAGGGCUCAACCCUAAAAUGUCGAUCGAUACUGUUGUGACUAGAGUACGAUAGAGGGAGGUAGAAUUCACAGUGUAGCGGUGGAAUGCGUAGAUAUUGUGAAGAAUACCAAUGGCGAAGGCAGCCUCCUGGAUCUGUACUGACACUGAGGUGCGAAAGCGUGGGUAGCGAACAGGAUUAGAUA